UGAAAGUAAAAGACAGUGAAAUUCAACUGUGCACCUGUCGACUACAUUAUUUACAGUAGUCAGUAUCAAAUUACAAUCCCCUACUUCAGCCAGUAUGUCAACACCAAGGACAACAAAUGAAGGAAUAAAAGCCGGUUUAACUGCUACAUAUGGUACCCCAAGUGAGGAAUAUUGUACAUAGCCACAAUAAAACAAGGACUCGCGAACUUUGAAAAGUGAAAUCAACAGCGGGGUACAGUGAAGAGAUGCUACAGCCAAUCAGUGCUAAGGUUUCAUGGCCACAGUAUGACAGCAGCCAAGCAGUGAGUGGGUUCUGUGUAAACAGCCAUUGAGUACUUGACCAGCUAAGCAGCACAUGGGUGGACAUAGCUGAUCGAGAUAACCAAGAUGCUUCGCCGGGAGAUCUACAACUUGCCGCAGCCAUGCAGACGAUGGACCAAGUUGACAACCGUAACAGCAGCAGCAGCAGAAGAAGAGUGAAUGAGAACAAGAGAAGAACCACAUCCAAGCCAACUGAUCACAGUGCAUUUCCUUACAGCCACAUGGACCUGUUGAAGGUGUGGACAGCUUGGCGACAAAGUGUGUAAAAGAUAAUUAAAAGUGUGAAUUUGCAACCCGUGAGGAUUUAUUAUCUGAAGCAAGACAGGACUUGUAUCAAAUGAUAUGUAUCUUUAAAUUUAAUUUUCAUUUUCCCAAAAUGGACAUCACCUUUGAUGAAGAUGCAUAAUUUUUGUUAAAAGUACAGCUACUAGAUAUUGUGUGAUAUUGUACAACAAGUCACUGUGUGUAAUUAUUUUUUAUGGGGAUUUUCGUAUGGCCAGUUCAUAUAAGUUAGAUUUUGAAAAACAUAUGUACUGUAGUUUUUGAUAAGAUUUCCUGUUGUGGCUUCGAUAGAUCACAUCGACUACAUAAAGAAUGAUCUUUGAACUCUAACUGCUCUGAUGAGCCGCCAUGUUACUGUACCAGUCAGCCUUUGUACCUUGUACAGUGUACACGUGUAUCUUUCUUUGUGCUGAAAUAUAUGUAUGUAUAGACA